rnacentral:rRNA from 1 species
GACGAACGCUGGCGGCGUGCUUAACACAUGCAAGUCGAACGGAAAGGCCCUGCUUUUGUGUGGUGCUCGAGUGGCGAACGGGUGAGUAACACGUGUGUAACCUGCCCUUGUCUUUGGGAUAACUUCAGGAAACUGGGGCUAAUACCCGAUAGGAGCUCCUGCUGCAUGGUGGGGAUUGGAAAGUUUCGGCGGUUGGGGAUGGACUCGCGGCUUAUCAGCUUGUUGGUGGGGUAGUGGCUUACCAAGGCUUUGACGGGUAGCCGGCCUGAGAGGGUGACCGGCCACAUUGGGACUGAGAUACGGCCCAGACUCCUACGGGAGGCAGCAGUGGGGAAUAUUGCACAAUGGGCGGAAGCCUGAUGCAGCAACGCCGCGUGCGGGAUGACGGCCUUCGGGUUGUAAACCGCUUUCGCCUGUGACGAAGCGUGAGUGACGGUAAUGGGUAAAGAAGCACCGGCUAACUACGUG